rnacentral:rRNA from 1 species
UAGGGAAUCUUCCACAAUGGGCGAAAGCCUGAUGGAGCAACGCCGCGUGUGUGAUGAAGGGUUUCGGCUCGUAAAACACUGUUGUAAGAGAAGAAUGACAUUGAGAGUAACUGUUCAAUGCGUGACGGUAUCUUACCAGAAAGGAACGGCUAAAUACGUGCCAA